rnacentral:snoRNA from 1 species
CCCCUGUCAGAGUCGCACCUGGAGAGUUUCCAGUACUCUACCAGUCUCGGCUGUGGGAGGGAGAGUCAAGCAGAGGCCUAUACCCAUUCCAUUCCUAGCUUGGGCAGUGGUUAGCGAGUAGAAGGCAAUCUACUACAAGC